UUAACAAUUAAAUUGAAGAAAGAACUCACAGGCCUCAACCACUGGGUGCGGGCCCUGGUGGCAGCACAGAGCUAUCUGUACAGUGGCUCUUACCAGACAAUCAAGAUCUGGGACAUUCGGACCCUUGACUGCAUCCAUGUCCUGCAGACAUCUGGUGGCAGUGUGUAUUCCAUUGCUGUGACGAAUCACCACAUUGUGGCACCUAUGAGAACCUUAUUCAUGUGUGGGACAUUGAAUCCAAAGAGCAGGUGCGGACCCUCACAGGUCACGUGGGCACAGUAUAUGCCCUGGCAGUCAUUUCAACACCAGACCAGACCAAAGUCUUCAGUGCAUCCUAUGACCGGUCCCUCAGGGUCUGGAGUAUGGACAACAUGAUCUGCACACAGACGCUGCUGCGCCAUCAGGACAGUGUAACUGCACUGGCUGUUUCCCGGGGCUGGCUCUUCUCAGGGGCUGUGGACAGCACCGUGAAGGUCUGGACAUGCUAACAGAAUCCAGGCUUGGCUCCCCCUGGGUCUGUAAGUUAGCUGGACCUCCAUUGGAAGGUCUGCCUGUCUGUAGAGACAGGUAGACAGGCACAGCUAGGCAGUGUCCUCUCUGCCUAUGCUUGGCGAGGGAUCUUUCCGAAGGCCCCGCUGUUACUUGUACCAGAGAAACACCCAGGCCCUCCUCUGGGCGCCAGGUCUGAUGCUUGCCCGG